rnacentral:pre_miRNA from 1 species
CAGGUACUCCCUCUGAUCCAUAUUACUUGUCUUAGAUUUGUCUAGAUACAGAUGUUUCUAGACAUGUUUUAGUAUUAGAUACAUCCGUAUCUAGACAAAUAUGGAUCGGAGGAAGUAUGUU